rnacentral:rRNA from 1 species
GCCAAACAGCUAGCUUAACCACUUAUAAACCAAAAAACAUUAACUAAAAUAAACUUAAAAAUAAAAACUAAACCAUUCUUUUACUCUAGUACGGGAGACUGAAAAAGUUUUAACAAAGCAAUAGAAACAGUACCGCAAGGGAAAGCUGAAAGAGAGAUGAGACAGAUCAUAUAAGCACCUAAAAGCAAAGAUUAAAUCCUGUACCUUUUGCAUCAUGAUUUAGCCAGUAUAACUAAGGCAAAGAGACCUUUAGUCUUAAACCCCGAAACCAGGUGAGCUACCCCGAGACAGCCUAUUAGGGCCAACCCGUCUCUGUGGCAAAAGAGUGGGAAGAGCUCCGGGUAGAAGUGAUAGACCUACCGAACCUGGUAAUAGCUGGUUGCCUAAGAAAUGAAUAAAAGUUCAGCCUCAGCUGCCUCAAGUCAAAAAUACUUUAUAAGACCAAAAGAGAAAAAUAUGAGAGUUAGUUAAAGGGGGUACAGCCCUUUUAACAAAGAACACAAUCUUUUCAGGAGGAUAAAGAUCAUAAUAUUAAAAACACACUGUUCUAGUGGGCCUAAAAGCAGCCAACUAAAUAGAAAGCGUUAAAGCUCAGACAGAAAAAAGUUUAUUAUUCUGAUAAUAAGUCUUACUCCCCUAAAUACUAUUAGGCCAACCCAUGCCAACAUGGAAGAGAUUAUGCUAAAAUGAGUAACAAGAAGGCCAGCCCUUCUCCUAGCACAAGUGUAAGCCAAACCGGACUAACCAUUGGCAACUAACGAACCCAAAUAACAGAGGGCAAUGUAAAUUACAUAAAACUCAAGAAAAACCCACAGAUCUUACAUCGUUACCCCCACACUGGAGUGCCAUCAGGGAAAGACUAAAAGAAACGGAAGGAACUCGGCAAACACUAAGCCUCGCCUGUUUACCAAAAACAUCGCCUCCUGCAACAUAACCAAGUAUAAGAGGUCCAGCCUGCCCAGUGACCAAAAGUUUAACGGCCGCGGUAUUUUGACCGUGCAAAGGUAGCGCAAUCACUUGUCUUUUAAAUAAAGACCGGUAUGAAUGGCUAAACGAGGGCUUAACUGUCUCCCAUUUCAAGUCAGUAAAAUUGAUCUACCCGUGCAGAAGCGGGUAUAACCAUACAAGACGAGAAGACCCUUUGGAGCUUAAGGUAAAAAUCAACCAUGUCAAGCAACUAUUAAACAAGUUUUAAACCUUAAAGUGUAUGAAACCUUUACCUUCGGUUGGGGCGACCAUGGAGAAAAAAAUAACCUCCAAGUGGAGUGGGUAAAAUCCUAAAACCAAGAGGGACACCUCUAAGUAACAGAACAUCUGACCAUAAAUGAUCCGGCCAACAAAAAGCCGACCAACGAACCAAGUUACCCAAGGGAUAACAGCGCAAUCCUCUCCCAGAGCCCAUAUCGCCGAGAGGGUUUACGACCUCGAUGUUGGAUCAGGACAUCCUAAUGGUGCAGCCGCUAUUAAGGGUUCGUUUGUUCAACGAUUAAAGUCCUACGUGAUCUGAGUUCAGACCGGAGCAAUCCAGGUCAGUUUCUAUCUGUAAUGCUACUUUUCCCAGUACGAAAGGAGCGGAAAAGAAGGGCCCAUGCCUAAAGCACGCCCUACCCCUAACUUAUGAAAACAAAUAAAUAUAGGUAAAGGGCUGAGCCAAAACCAAAAUCCCCAAGACAAGGACAU